rnacentral:rRNA from 1 species
AACGAACGCUGGCGGCAUGCCUAACACAUGCAAGUCGAACGAGACCUUCGGGUCUAGUGGCGCACGGGUGCGUAACGCGUGGGAACCUGCCCUUAGGUUCGGAAUAACUCCCCGAAAGGGGUGCUAAUACCGGAUAAUGUCUUCGGACCAAAGAUUUAUCGCCUUUGGAUGGGCCCGCGUUGGAUUAGCUAGUUGGUAGGGUAAAAGCCUACCAAGGCGACGAUCCAUAGCUGAUCUGAGAGGAUGAUCAGCCACACUGGGACUGAGACACGGCCCAGACCCUUAGGGGGGGCAGAAGGGGGAAAUAUUGAACAAGGGGCGAGGCCCUGAUCCAGCAAUGCCGCGUGAGUAAAAAGGGCCUAGGGGUUAAAAGACUUUUUCCCCCGGGUGUAUAAUAACAUGCCCGGGAAAAAAACCGCCGGCAGACCCCGUG